UACGGGAGGCAGCAGUGAGGAAUAUUGCGCAAUGGAGGAAACUCUGACGCAGCGACGCCGCGUGAAGGAUGAAGGUCUUCGGAUUGUAAACUUCUGUCUUCAGGGAAGAAAUAAAUGACGGUACCUGGGGAGGAAGCCCCGGCUAACUACGUGCCAGCAGCCGCGGUAAU
rnacentral:rRNA from 1 species